rnacentral:rRNA from 1 species
GACGAACGCUGGCGGCGUGCUUAACACAUGCAAGUCGAACGGAAAGGCCCUGCUUUUGUGGGGUGCUCGAGUGGCGAACGGGUGAGUAACGCGUGAGUAACCUGCCCUUGACUUUGGGAUAACUUCAGGAAACUGGGGCUAAUACCGGAUAGGAGCUCCUGCGGCAUGGUGGGUGUUGGAAAGUUUCGGCGGUUGGGGAUGGACUCGCGGCUUAUCAGCUUGUUGGUGGGGUAGUGGCUUACCAAGGCUUUGACGGGUAGCCGGCCUGAGAGGGUGACCGGCCACAUUGGGACUGAGAUACGGCCCAGACUCCUACGGGAGGCAGCAGUGGGGAAUAGUGCACGAUGGGCGGAAGCCUGAUGCAGCAACGCCGCGUGCGGGAUGACGGCCUUCGGGUUGUAAACCGCUUUCGCCUGUGACGAAGCGUGAGUGACGGUAAUGGGUAAAGAAGCACCGGCUAACUACGUG